rnacentral:lncRNA from 1 species
GUCAUUUGUAGGGACAUGGAUGAAAGUGGAAAUCAUCAUUCUCAGUAAACUAUCGCAAGAACAAAAAACCAAACACCGCAUAUUCUCACUCAUAGGUGGGAAUUGAACAAUGAGAUCACAUGGACACAGGAAGGGGAAUAUCACACUCUGCGGACUGUGGUGGGGUUGGGGGAACGGGGAGGGAUAGCAUUGGGAGAUAUACCUAAUGCUAGAUGAUGAGUUAGUGGGUGCAGCGCACCAGCAUGGCACAUGUAUACAUAUGUAACUAACCUGCACAUUGUGCAUGUGUACCCUAAAACUUAAAGUAUAAUAAUAAUAAAAAAAAGACUUUAUAGCUGCCUCCAAAGACACAUAGACUCUAUUUCCAGCCUCCUGAAAAUUCUGUCCCUGCAUCAGCCUAUUCAGGUUCUGCCCAGUCUCUCUCCCACUUCUUUUUCUCCAGCCUCUCAUUCUCUCUUCUCUGAUUUAUUUAAGUCGUCUUUUAUCUUUCUACCUUCCAGACUCUUUCCACAUUAGCAAUCCCUUCAAAUUUCCCCCACCCAGUGCAUGUAAAUUCCGAAAGUCAUCUAGGAGGGUGAAGUGCUUCUUUAGUGGGGAAGUCUGGGAGAGGGUGGGGAUGAGGAAGGGGGCACUGGCAGGUGAGUAUGUGAGGAGCCAUGCACUAAUAUGCUUUGCAAACUCCAUGUUACUCACGUUCAUGCCUGCCUGUAAGUUAUUGCUUGUGCUAGGACCCGGAUUAAAUGUUUUCCCAUUAUGUUACUAAUUGAUUGAACCUAAUGAUCUUAAAAAAAAAAAAAGCAACAAAAACAUCUUGGCCAUUUCGAGCCCUUUCUCUGAAAUUUUGCUGAAACAUGUAGUGGUCAGUUGGAUGCUUUCAUAUUGUUUAUUGCUAUUUGUGUUAGAGAUCUUGUAUCCUUCACUAAACUUAAAUGUUUUCAUAGCAGGACCCAGUGCUAGUAAGAUCUCUGUGAUCUCUUCUGAUUCUAGCAUGUCAUUCAAUGAAGAUUUAUUGAUUGAUUAUGUCUUGCCAAAGGUCCUAUGUGUUUAUUUCUAAAGCAUAAACAAAUUGAUAAUAGGAUAGGUGACACAGAAGCAUCUUCAGGAGUAAGAGACCAGACUGAUAUCAACAUCUUCCUCAACAAAAUAUAUUAAUGGAUGGUUGAGAGUCGUUGUAACUGAAGUCCAUGUGGUCCUGAGAGUACAGCAGAAGAUUGGUCUCCAGUCUCUCUCUGUCCCUAUAGAUUAGUUACUGUGAUUAUAUCUGAUUGUAUUUAAUUAGUUUAAUAAAAUAGGCAGGAAACGUGGGCUUUGAAAAAUACAUAGAAAUUCAACAGGCAAAAAGAGGGAGAGUGUACUUCACAAACUAAGUUGUCUAGCAUAGCUGGAGGGCAAGGUAUGGACUGGAAGUAGGAAAGCAGGGGCCAGUCAGCAUGGAAAGGUAGCAAGGCCAGGAGGACUAGAACCCUGACUUUCUCUCCAGCCCUCCCCACUUGACACCUGGGAAGGGGCAGACCUGGAAGAACCACCUGAGAAGCCCCUGGAGCGGCACUUGUGGAUCUUUGACAGGAGUAUGUGGAAAUUCAUUCUGCAUGCACUCCUGUACACACCACAAAUAUGGCAGAAACAAUGCUGAUGAUGGAACAGCAACAACCUUGUGUGCAGAGGUUGGCUCCUGCAGCCCUGUCCCAAGAUAUCCCCGCCCUGUGCAGAAGUUACCCCAAUUGCACGUGCUUUGUCAAGAGAGAGUACUCAGCUGAUGAAUAGCUUAUUUCUGUGGCCCAUCAUUAAUGGCAGUCAUCACGGCUUUGUCUUUCCAUAGCAUUUCCAGUUUCUGGGCAAAUAAGCCCCCACGCCUUUGGGCCUGGUAUAAUGGACACAUUACAUGAGGUGUUUUAGAAUUUCUUAACAAAUAUGUAUUUCACAAAUAUAUCAUGAUAGGUGUAAGCAGUUUGGAACUACUGGGAAGAACUCCAGCUCCCCAUUACCCUCUACUAAAUGUACAUACCAGUGGUGGGCUGGUAAAUAUUUGGCAAUCGAUUCUUUGAGGAAAAAAGAAAAGCCCUGAUUGGCAGGUAGCAUUUAUCAAUUUCGUGGUAUGAAUGCUCCUGCCACGGCCAAUCUCAAGCUAUCAGUGAAUGCAUAGUCUGGGGGAAGUGUUUUAAGUCACUGAAUGCAGUGUUUGGAGAAGAGGGGAGAAACAUUGGUUUUUGUGGAUUAGUACAAGCUGGCUUCAGCACAUCAUUGUCCCUCAAAGUAUGCAUCCCUCAUCGCGAAAUUGUCAGAUUAGGAAUUAAUUUCAUAAGAGAGAAAUUCACUCGCAUGAGUCCUUGCAUUAUCAACUCUGCUAGUACAUCAUACUUAUUUUAGGCCAGACACUAUUUUAAGCACAUCACAAAUAUUAACUCAUUUAGUUUGCAGAGAAACUAUAUUUUCUAUUUACUGAAGUAAUGGAGGCGCAGAGAAGUUAGAUAAGUUGCUCAAGGUCACACAGCUGGCAAGUAAUAGAGGUGGGAUUCAAACCGAGGCAGCCUAGCUCCGGUGCCAGCACUUUUUAAUAAUGGCACUCUGUUCUCUCUCAUAUCACAGCAUUCUAUUUGUUUCCCUAAUACAUUCAAUACAGGCUACAGUUAUUUUAUUGCUUUGUUACUUUUUGUGUGUAUACACCUCUCCUACCAGACUACAAACUUCCUGGGAACAGGUACCAUGACAGACACUCAGAUAAAUAGUACUUAGAUGUAAGAAUAAAUCUUAUAUCACUCUCUCAUAUAUUCAACAACUGUUAAUAGUAAGAGUUAUUAAUAGAUAACGUUGGCUGGGCAUAUUGGCUCAUGCCUGUAAUCCCAGCACUUUGGGAGGCCAAGCAGGCGGAACACGAGGUCAGGAGAUUGAGAACAUCCUGGCUAACGCGGUGAAACCCCGUCUCUACUAAAACUACAAAAAAAAAAAUUAGCUGGUCGUGGUGGCCGGUGCCUGUAGUCCCAGCUACCUGGGAGGCUGAGGCAGGAGGAUGGUGUGAACCCCGGACGUGGAGCUUGCAGUGAGCCAAGAUUGCACCACUGCACUCCAGCCUGGGCAACACAGUGAGACUCCUCUAAAAAAAAAAAAAAAAAAAAAAAAGAGGGACAAACACAAUCUACACCUUGAUGUUCGUAUUUAUUUAAAUGCUGUGUAGUUUCACCUUUCUUCAAAAUAAAUUUGAAUGCUUAGUUAUGAUUAAACAGGUUACUACUACUUAUGUAAGUCCUAUUUUGUAGUUAAAUUCUUAAGUAAUUGGGUCAUUAGGUGUUCAUUUUUCAUCAGUUCCAGAGGUUGGCUUCUGCAGCCCUCUCUCAAGAACUCAUAAAGAGAUCUGUCUCUUUACUAGAAUAUAACAUACAUGAGGGAAACAGCAGAGACUAUAUUUGUUGUAUUAUACUACCAGUAAUUAGUACAGUGUUGGGACACAGCUGACACUAAUAAAUAUAUCUAUGGCAUAAAUUAAUUAAACUGUCUACUUUUGUAGAUUUAGCUGUUUCUAACAUAACGCUAUUAAAGUAGCUCAUCUUCAGGCACAUCCAUGCAUAUUGCACUUGCCUUUGUUCAUACCUAUGUGCUUGUCUUGAUCUCCUUGGAUUCUUGGCAUGGGAAGAGACUGAGUCUUAUUAACCUCAUAGCCCUAGGAUACAGUAUAAUGUCUAAUGCCCCGUAGGUGUGCCAAACAUGUUUUCAGGCUGAAGCAAACAGUAGAUGUUCAGUAAGAACUUAUUAAUCAGUGGGCUAGUAAGGAAGAAGUUGGUCCUCAAAGCAGACUAUGCCUGAUAGGAAAGGUGCUCGAGUUGUUAAUACAGAUGCUGUUAAUACAUCCUGUGUGCCAUCCAGGGUGCUGGUGACAGAGGGACACAUUGAAGGAUUGUGCCGACGUGCUGUGAAUGACUUGGAGCAUCACUUUUCAAAAGUAGCAAGGUGCUCCAUGAAGAGCACUGGCCUAAGAGCCCAGAGUUCAGAAUUUCAAGUCUGGUUCAUCCACACAUCCACACAUGUAGAUCACCUGAUACUUCCAAGCAAGCAGGUGUUCUUUUCAGAAGCCAGAAGCUGAUAACCUGGGCUUUCUGAUCUAACCCCAGCCCAAAUUCAUUGCAAUGGAGGAAUUGGGGAGGAGAUUCUUCCUACUGAGAAGUGGGUGCCAACUCUCCCUUUCAAAUUUGUUCAUCAACAAACUAAAGGGGAUGCCAGAAAUGUCUGGAGCAAUGGAAGAACCACUGGAAUAAUGCUCCUGCCUGAUUGUAUCUACUUAACCCACUCUCCAAGAGCCAGAAUCAGAUUUCAACCGUAUGGAAUCAUCUACAAUGCAGCAGAUGGGUUUACAAGUCUCUUGGUCUCUUCAUGAAGAAGGCGCAGCAAUCGUGUCCCAAGUCCUUGAGGACUUCACAGGGUGUUCUAGUGUCCUGAGAAUAUACCUGCCUAAGACACCUGGCUUGGCAUGUGUUUCU